rnacentral:rRNA from 1 species
ACUUAAAUUGAAGAGUUUGAUCAUGGCUCAGAUUGAACGCUGGCGGCAGGCCUAACACAUGCAAGUCGAGCGGUAGCACAGAGAGCUUGCUCUCGGGUGACGAGCGGCGGACGGGUGAGUAAUGUCUGGGAAACUGCCUGAUGGAGGGGGAUAACUACUGGAAACGGUAGCUAAUACCGCAUAACGUCGCAAGACCAAAGUGGGGGACCUUCGGGCCUCAUGCCAUCAGAUGUGCCCAGAUGGGAUUAGCUAGUAGGUGGGGUAACGGCUCACCUAGGCGACGAUCCCUAGCUGGUCUGAGAGGAUGACCAGCCACACUGGAACUGAGACACGGUCCAGACUCCUACGGGAGGCAGCAGUGGGGAAUAUUGCACAAUGGGCGCAAGCCUGAUGCAGCCAUGCCGCGUGUGUGAAGAAGGCCUUCGGGUUGUAAAGCACUUUCAGCGGGGAGGAAGGCGUUAAGGUUAAUAACCUCAUCGAUUGACGUUACCCGCAGAAGAAGCACCGGCUAACUCCGUGCCAGCAGCCGCGGUAAUACGGAGGGCGCAAGCGUUAAUCGGAAUUACUGGGCGUAAAGCGCACGCAGGCGGUCUGUCAAGUCGGAUGUGAAAUCCCCGGGCUCAACCUGGGAACUGCAUUCGAAACUGGCAGGCUAGAGUCUUGUAGAGGGGGGUAGAAUUCCAGGUGUAGCGGUGAAAUGCGUAGAGAUCUGGAGGAAUACCGGUGGCGAAGGCGGCCCCCUGGACAAAGACUGACGCUCAGGUGCGAAAGCGUGGGGAGCAAACAGGAUUAGAUACCCUGGUAGUCCACGCCGUAAACGAUGUCGAUUUGGAGGUUGUGCCCUUGAGGCGUGGCUUCCGGAGCUAACGCGUUAAAUCGACCGCCUGGGGAGUACGGCCGCAAGGUUAAAACUCAAAUGA